rnacentral:rRNA from 1 species
AUACCCGGGUAGUCCACGCCCUAAACGAUGUCAACUGGUUGUUGGGUCUUCACUGACGAUCCAACCCGCAAGGGGGGAAGUCGCCUAAGGUGAGAUCGGUAAGGAGGGCU